UACACGCUUUUUAAAGAUUUUAAACUAAUAUAACCAUUUGUCCGAGAUUCAGCAAUCGAGAACAACUUGGUAAGUUUAUAUUCAUACAUUAAAAAAAACAUUGAUAUAUUAUUGCAUGAACGAGCAAUAGGUUGGAUGAGCCAAACAAUGAGUUCUUUGAUCAGAGGAAAAAAAUGAGAAAGAGAGAGAUGGAGUGAGAAACUGAGAGAUUUAAUUACAACAAAUUAGGCAAAUUAUAUUUAAAAUUACCGAAUAAAACAGCUUUACUGUAAUAUUUGCACUUUUUUCAGAAUAGAAAUGGAGACCGAUAAUAGCAGUCUUGUGUGAAUAUCCGGAGUUUAAUGGUGUCAUUAUUUCAAGUUGCUUUCAGGUAAGUACUGACUACCAUCAUUAUGAUAUAUGUUCGCACUGCUAGUUAUAUAAUUUCUAGCUUGAAAUUUAUUCUAAAAUGUAAGAACUAUUGAGUAUUGGCUAAGAUUUUAACACUACAAAAAUGUAUAUUACUUCAAAUAAUAACCAAAUGCUCUCGCAGGGCGCAGCUUUAUACGACCGCAGAGGUCGAACCCUGAACAGUUAGGGCAAGUAUGGACACACCAUUUAAGCUUGAUACAGCUCUGAAUUUGGAUUGUGAUUAAAUAGUUGACACAACAUAGGUUUUUGACACAGAAUGAAUGUGGUCUAAGAACUUAAACUUUAAAACUUAAAAAUUUUAAUUUUGGACAUUUACCUAUUAUGGUCCAAUAUCCAAAAUCUAAAUACAUGGUUAGAUUCAGCAUAUCAUAGAACUCCAAGAAUUCAAUUUUUGAUGAAAUCAAAUAAUGUUCAAUUUUAGACUUCAAUGUGGACUCAAAUGGAAGUUUUUAACGACCUUGACUGGCUAUACAGCCCUUGCACGGUCGGUGGACUAAUUUGAUAACCGGGCCCAAAUAUUAAAAAUCUAAGUACAUGUUUAGAUUCAGCAUAUCAAAGAACCCAAAGAAUUCAAUUUUUGUUAAAAUCAAACUAAGUUUUAACUAAGUUUACGUAAAACAAUUUGAAAACAGGACCAAAAAUUAAGAAUCUAAAUACACGGUUAGAUUUGGCAUAUCAAAGAACCCUAAUAACUUAUUUUUAAAUGAAAUCAAACAAAGUUUAGUUUUGGACCCUUUUGGUCCCUUAUUCCUUAACUGUUGGACCAAACUCCAAAAUCAAUCCAACCUUCUUUUUUGUGUCAUAACCUUGUGUUAAAAUUUCAUAGAUUUCUAUUUUUAUACUAAAGUUAUUGUGGGAAAACCAAGAAAAAUGCUUAUUUGGGACCUUUUUUUGGCUCCAAUUCCUAAACUGUUAGGACCAAAACUCCCAAAAUCAAUCACAACCUUUCUUUUGUAGUCAUAAACCUUAUGUUAAAAUUUCAUAGAUUUCUGUUUUCUUAUACUAAAGUUUAUGUGCGAAAACCAAGAAAAAUGCUUAUUUGGGCCCUUUUUGGCCCCUAAUUCCUAAUCUGUUGUGACCAAAACUUCCAAAAUCAAUCCCUACCUUUCUUUUAUGGUCAUAAAAGAGGGACGAAAGAUACCAAAGGGACAGUCAAACUCAUAAAUUUAAAACAAACUGACAACCUCAUGGCUAAAAAAAAAACAACAAACAACAGCACACACGACCAACAUAGAAAAACUAAAGAAUAAACAACACGAAACCCCCAAAACUUAUCUCAGGUGCUAUCCUGCAUAAACCUUGUGUUUAAAUUUCUAGAUUUCUAUUUACUUAUACUAAAGUUAUAGUGCGAAAACCAAAUGUCUUCGGACGACGAAGACGACACCGCGCACGGACGACGACGUACGACCAAAUUUUUUUCAAUUUUUGCGGUCGUAUAAAAAAAUGUUAGACAUCUACAUUUUCUAAUUAAAAAAAAAAGUAAAACAUUCAGUGUGUCUGGCUCCUCUCUUUGAGACUUUCUCUUCACUUUUCGUGUAUUUUAUUGAAUGGAAUAUAAUUUUCCUUAACGGCGUUACAUAAAUUCUUAAUGAUCCUUGCUUUCAUUUUCAGCGAAAUAGAAGCUAACAUUAUGUCUGGCGCACAAAUAGUUAAUUGUAACGAGACUGAAAUACCACUGAAUAACAAUGAAGAAGAUAUAACAGACGACGAUGAAUGCGCUGCUUUUUACAAAUCCGUCAGAGAUGCUGAAUACAGUAAACUUGUUGACGCAUAUGCCAAAGAAAAGAUAAUCCUGGAAGAAAAGGAGAGAAAUAGGAAAGUAAGAGAACAAGAAAAGAUAAUUUCAACCAAAGAAAUAACAGACGACGAUGAAUGUGCUGCUUUUUACAAAUCCGUCAGAGAUGCUGAAUACAGUAAACUUGUUGACGCAUAUGCCAGAGAAAAUAUAAUCCAGGAAGAAAAGGAGAGGAAAUAGAGUUAACAAAAGACCAAGAAAAGAUAGAGAAGCAAUUUGAAGAAUUCUGGAAACCAGCCACUGACCUUGACUCACUGCGGCGUGUUUCCCAGGAGGUACUAACAUAUUUUUGUUUAAAUGCGUUUGAGUAAUUGGUGAUAAGGAACUUAGCAUUUUAAAAAAAAAAACUAUAGGACUAUAGGUACAGCAGUGUUUAUAUUUGUGUACAAAAUUAUGGUAUCAGUGUUUAUAUUAAAAACAAUUACACUUUCGUAAAAGCAACCCUCCAAUCAAUCAGUAGCUCAUAAAGUUUCCUUCCAUUUUUUUUUUUUAUUUUAUUUAAAUGACCUGUUUCAAUAUUUUGCGUAGAUAGCAAUAGUUUACUAUCUUAAAUUCAUAUAUUUAUAUUUUUUUUUUGUUGACAGGCAAGAGACAAUACAGAGAAGGAUUGGACUUCACAACAAGAUCUGUGUCUUAAAGAGGAACACAUAGAGAAAAGACAACAAGGACCCUUCCUUUCACCGGCGAAAGAAGAAAGAAUAAACUCAUUUGUGAGAGAACAGCAUAACAAUUACCAAAGCUUCCAAAUGACAGACACGUGGAAUGUAGCAAUCGACAGUAAGCACAUAUAGAAAUUAACCCCUUUAACGAAAAUAUGAGAUUUAAAAAAAAGGUCGAGGAACACGUAUGAAAAUAUAAACAAACGUGCCUAAAAGGAAAAUAAUCCUAACAAAUCAAACAUGAUAAUUGUUUUCGAUGUUAACCUAAAAUAAAUUAGAAAAAAUUUAUCUUAUGACAUGUUGAUUAAAAAUAACGUAGUUCCCAAGUGCAAACAUGGCCUGUUUCAUAUUUGAAAAUUUAAAAAUAUUAAACAAAAUAAUUUAAGAGCUUUUGAAACCAAAAAAGGACAUUAAAGUAUAAUAUAUAAUAACUAAAAUUACCGUAAUAAUGAGUUUGUCGUUAGAGACACAAGCAAUCGUUGGUGUUACAACAGUAACAGUGUGUGUUUUUUUCAAAUUUUCAAGUUUAUAAUUGAGAAACAUUUUUGCUUUGUUUUUCAGAAGAACUGGACGGAUCUGUAAUAAGUGAAACUGUUCCAAAUAAAAGGGGAUAUCUUCAAAGGAUAGCCGAUAUAGUAUU
rnacentral:lncRNA from 1 species